rnacentral:rRNA from 1 species
GUCUUCGGCCAUGCUACCCUGAACGAGCCCGAUCCUGUCUGAUCUCGGAAGCUAAGCAGGGUCAGGCCUGGUUAGUACUUGGAUGGGAGACUACCUAGGAAGACCAGGUGCUGUGUAGA